AACCCACUGAGUCCAGUCCAGGACAACACUGAGCAGAAGGUAUGUUCUGUUAGUUCAUGGAACCCACUGAGUCCAGUCCAGGACAACACUGAGCAGAAGGUAUGUUCUGUUAGUUCAUGGAACCCACUGAGUCCAGUCCAGGACAACACUGAGCAGAAGGUAUGUUCUGUUAGUUCAUGGAACCCACUGAGUCCAGUCCAGGACAACACUGAGCAGAAGGUAUGUUCUGUUAGUUCAUGGAACCCACUGAGUCCAGUCCAGGACAACACUGAGCAUGGAACCCACUGAGUCCAGUCCAGGACAACACUGAGCAGAAGGUAUGUUCUGUUAGUUCAUGGAACCCACUGAGUCCAAUCCAGGACAACACUGAGCAGAAGGUAUGUUCUGUUAGUUCAUGGAACCCACUGAGUCCAGUCCAGGACAACACUGAGCAGAAGGUAUGUUCUGUUAGUUCAUGGAACCCACUGAGUCCAGUCCAGGACAACACUGAGCAGAAGGUACGUUCUGUUAGUUCAUGGAACCCACUGAGUCCAGUCCAGGACAACACUGAGCAGAAGGUACGUUCUGUUAGUUCAUGGAACCCACUGAGUCCAGUCCAGGACAACACUGAGCAGAAGGUAUGUUCUGUUAGUUCAUGGAACCCACUGAGUCCAGUCCAGGACAACACUGAGCAGAAGGUACGUUCUGUUAGUUCAUGGAACCCACUGAGUCCAGUCCAGGACAACACUGAGCAGAAGGUAUGUUCUGUUAGUUCAUGGAACCCACUGAGUCCAGUCCAGGACAACACUGAGCAUGGAACCCACUGAGUCCAGUCCAGGACAACACUGAGCAGAAGGUAUGUUCUGUUAGUUCAUGGAACCCACUGAGUCCAGUCCAGGACAACACUGAGCAGAAGGUAUGUUCUGUUAGUUCAUGGAACCCACUGAGUCCAGUCCAGGACAACACUGAGCAGAAGGUAUGUUCUGUUAGUUCAUGGAACCCACUGAGUCCAGUCCAGGACAACACUGAGCAGAAGGAGGCUGACCGUCAGAGCUGUGUGUCCAGUGUGGUCUACCAGGCUGACCAGGCCUGCAGACGCCUGGUCUCACAGGCCAUGCAGGAGGCCAGAGAACAUCAACUUCCCCAGAGAGGAUGAGGUCUCUGGCAGCCGACUUCAAUGAAUCCA